UGGGCGCUGUGCAGCCCUCCGUUGGAGGAGAACUAGAAGCACCAAGUGGCGUGCAGAAACGAACCUGGUUUGGUAACAGAUGGAGAGCCAGCCAGGAGCUCAGUCCAGACAGACCUUUUUGCCUGAGACCCAUCAGCCCCCUGCCAGGGUGGAGAGGCUGUGGGCGAGGCCAGCAGCUGCCAGCAGUGUUUCUCUGGGACUGUUCCAGGAUCCUUUCCCUGCUUAGCGCAGCUGACUCCAUGACGCCUAUUUUCACUUUCAGUAGAGAGACGGUUUCUGGGUUUGGAAGACGUCUUUUUGGACACAUUUGGAAACUUUGGCUGUAAAACCAAGGCUUUGACUGGAAUGUCAUAUUUGAGAGAAACAUACAGACUCAGAUAGGACAAGACAGCUUUUGAGGAAUAAAGGUUGACUUCCUGGAAUGAAGCCACUUGGAAGUAUUGGCCUGGUACCCUGUUUACAAGGAUUCCAGUAACCUGAAAACACUCCUUAUUAACUACCUGGUUACUUGCUAACACAAUAUAGGCUGAACUUUGGGAGCCCACCUGCAUCACCAUCUUACUAAGAGACUGGUUCAAUGAGAUGGAAACAACCUAUGCCCCUGAUCAGCAGGAUAAUCUCUCAAGAUUGAAGAUGAACAACAAAAGGGGGGAUUGAUACCAGUCAACACAAGGUUGACAUAAGGGAAGCCAUAUUGUAAAAAAGAAACCACAUUGUAACCUUGAAUGACCUCUGAUUAACUAACCCAGACAUGCUUUGUAGAUUUAAUGGACCCUCCCAGCUGCUAUGAGUUGGUAACUUUGUUCUUCUGAGUUCCUUAGGAAUGUGAUGACCCUCAGGAAGAGAGUCUGUGCUGAUGGCCAUCAUCAAUGACAACGGAAAGAUCAGCGUAUAGGCCAUUGCUCUGGUCUCUGAUGCAUAUCCAGUAAAACAAAAGACUAUCAGGACCUGAGACCAGAUGUCUGCCCCACCCAGAGACCAGAUGGAGCCCCCACUGGGAUUAGGUCUAUUUUUCAGGGAUUGUUAAAAUUUGGGUUGUCUAUACUUCUUAUCCUUCUGGUUGGACACAUGAUUAUAAAAUGUGCUUUUCAGAUGUUUUAGAUGUGGAACAAGAUACAAAAUUCUCAUAAUACAAAAACAUCAACAUGAAGCUGGAAACGAGAGUAUUUCCAAAUAAGUGCUAAACAGUUUCAUUUCUUUAGCCCGGAUCUAGGCCCCAAUUCAGCAGGAAGCAGCUAGAUUGGUUGUUGCCCCAAAUCCCUCAAAAAUGAGGAAUGACUAAAGAAUAGCAGAGAUUGAAACCAGCAAACAGCCAUUGAUGAUCAGGUAGCUAGGCACUAAAGUUUUUUCCUUUUGCAGUUACUGAUUAUAGCUUUUAGCUGUUUAACCCACCCACCCACUGUCAACUGUGCUGUUUAGGCAAUAUGUUCUCUGACUCUCGCUAGGCUCCUAUAGAUAGCAUCUCCCUGGAGCCUGGGUCUCCAUGGUAAUGGGUGUGUGAGGUGUUCUUCAGGAAUUAGAACUCCUUGUCCACUCCAGGCCAAUUGAGACCACCAACCCAACUGGGCCCAUUCAGCAGUCUGAGAGGCGACUUUUUGACACCAAGAGGCUAAAAACACCACCCUCAGAUCAUGCUAAUGCUGCCAUUUUGUGAACACGGGUCCUAUGAAGAGGUGUGGAGUCUGACUAUGCUUGCGCAGAUCA
rnacentral:lncRNA from 1 species